GACGAACGCUGGCGGCGUGCUUAACACAUGCAAGUCGAGCGGUAAGGCCUUUCGGGGUACACGAGCGGCGAACGGGUGAGUAACACGUGGGUGAUCUGCCCUGCACUUCGGGAUGAGCCUGGGAAACUGGGUCUAAUACCGGAUAUGACCUCCUAUCGCAUGGUGGGUGGUGGAAAGAUUUAUCGGUGCAGGAUGGGCCCGCGGCCUAUCAGCUUGUUGGUGGGGUAAUGGCCUACCAAGGCGACGACGGGUAGCCGACCUGAGAGGGUGACCGGCCACACUGGGACUGAGACACGGCCCAGACUCCUACGGGAGGCAGCAGUGGGGAAUAUUGCACAAUGGGCGAAAGCCUGAUGCAGCGACGCCGCGUGAGGGAUGACGGCCUUCGGGUUGUAAACCUCUUUCAGCAGGGACGAAGCGCAAGUGACGGUACCUGCAGAAGAAGCACCGGCUAACUACGUG
rnacentral:rRNA from 1 species